CCACACUAGCCACUUCAGGCUGUGAGCGACUAAAUGACUUCUGAUGUUCAAAAGGUUGUUUUUUUAAGAAUGGACUGAGUCAGCGCUGGAGCCCAUGGACUGCCUUGUGGUCAGACAGAAGGUAGGCAAAUCUGCCUGGUUUCUCCUUUCCAAGAGACCGGCUGCCACGGAAAUGAUACCCACGCCUGCAUCUGCAAGUGAGGCCCAAUUAGCAGGAAGAAGACUCACCAGGGACUCUUCAGAAAUAACUCGCUCCUUCCCCUCACUGUGGAGCCCCUGAAAACUCUGACAGAGCCCAAGACUACAUGAUCUCCAACAAUCUGACAGGCGCAUUUUCCACCCUCCUGCGUUCACAGGAAAUAUUUGGUAUGUGCAAACAUUUAUUUGGAGGUGUAACAUUUAAGGCCUGCAAAUAUUUGAAAAUGCAACCUUCAGGAAUGUGGGGCCCAUAAAUCAGGCUCAUUUACCCUCAGAAUCCACAAGGAUGAAUUAUUUCCUCACAGCAUUCAGAGAUCUGGUCAUGGUGCGAGCCCUAAAACAUCCUGAGAUGUUUGAUUCAACGUUAUAGGGGGGGGUGCUGUUUUGCUGUGCCUGGUGAAGAGGCAGCCCCCUCUUUUAGGUACUCCACAGCCUAGAAGUAGUGAACAA